rnacentral:rRNA from 1 species
UUGGAGGGCAAGUCUGGUGCCAGCAGCCGCGGUAAUUCCAGCUCCAAUAGCGUAUAUUAAAGUUGUUGCAGUUAAAAAGCUCGUAGUUGAAUUUCGGGGUUAGUAGGUUGGUCAUGCCUCUGGUAUGUACUGGUCUCACUGAUUCCUCCUUCCUGAUGAACCUUAAUGCCAUUUAUUUGGUGUUUUGGGGAAUUUGGACUGUUACUUUGAAAAAAUUAGAGUGUUUAAAGCAAGCUAACGCUUGAAUACAUUAGCAUGGAAUAAUGAAAUAGGACGUUCGAUCCUAUUUUGUUGGUUUCUAGGAUUGACGUAAUGAUUAAUAGGGAUAGUUGGGGGCAUCAGUAUUCAAUUGUCAGAGGUGAAAUUCUUGGAUUUAUUGAAGACUAACUACUGCGAAAGCAUUUGCCAAGGAUGUUUUCAUUAAUCAAGAACGAAAGUUAGGGGAUCGAAGACGAUCAGAUACCGUCGUAGUCUUAACCAUAAACUAUGCCGACUAGGGAUCGGAUGAUGUUAAUUUUUUAAUGACUCAUUCGGCGCCUUACGGGAAAC